rnacentral:rRNA from 1 species
AUGGAUAAGGUAGGAAGGGCGCACGGGGGAUGCCUAGGCGCCAGGUGCCGAUGAAGGACGGGGCGAACACCGAAAUGCCUUGGGGAGCCGUACGCAGGCAUGGAUCCAAGGGUAUCCGAAUGGGGGAACCUCUCUUUCGUGAUGGAAAGAGACCCACCGCUGAAUCCAUAGGCGGUGAGGAGGGCACCGGGGGAACUGAAACAUCUCAGUACCCCGAGGAAGAGAAAACAACAGUGAUUCCCUGAGUAGCGGCGAGCGAACGGGGAAGAGCCUAAACGGUAUGCGUGUAAGCCUGUCCGCGUUGCGCAUAGCGGGUCGAGGGGCAUAAGAGGAAGACAGGACAGCGUCUUCCAGUGGAAGGAUACGUUAGAGGAACGGCAUGGGAAGGCCGGCCGCAGAGGGUGAGAGCCCCGUAGUCGAAAACGUGUUUGAAAGCUGCGUUAUGACCCCGAGUAGGGCGGGACACGAGGAAUCCCGUUUGAAUCUGGGAGGACCACCUCCUAAGGCUAAAUACAACCUGGCGACCGAUAGUGAAGAAGUACCGUGAGGGAAAGGUGAAAAGCACCGCGGGAGCGGAGUGAAAGAGAACCUGAAACCGUGUGCCUACAAGCAGUUGGAGCAUCCAGCGGAUCGCAAGAAACGCGAGAGGUGUGACAGCGUGCCUUUUGUAGAAUGAACCGGCGAGUGUCGAUGUCAAGCGAGGUUAAGGGAGAGAUCCUGGAGCCGAAGCGAAAGCGCGUCUGAAGAGGGCGAAAGUUUGACGACGACGACCCGAAACCGUGUGAUCUACCCCUGGCCAGGGUGAAGUGGCGGUAACACGCUAUGGAGGCCCGAACCCACUGACGUUGAAAAGUCAGGGGAUGAGCUGGGGGUAGGGGAGAAAUUCCAAUCGAACACGGAGAUAGCUGGUUCUCCCCGAAAUAGCUUUAGGGCUAGCGUUGCGCAACGUACGAUGGAGGUAGAGCACGGAUUGGGCUAGGGGCCUGCAAAGGUUACUGAACCCAGUCAAACUCCGAAUGCCAUUGGUAUAGGCGCAGCAGUCAGACUGCGAGUGCUAAGAUCCGUAGUCAAAAGGGAAACAGCCCAGAUCAACAGCUAAGGCCCCCAAGUGUCCGUUAAGUGGGAAACGAUGUGGCGGUGCAGAGACAACCAGGAUGUUGGCUUAGAAGCAGCCACCAUUGAAAGAGUGCGUAAUAGCUCACUGGUCGAGUGACGCUGCGCGGAAAAUGUAACGGGGCUAAACGGACCGCCGAAGCUUUGA